rnacentral:lncRNA from 1 species
GGAGGAAAACAGAUUUUUCAUCUAUAAUUCAGAAGCUAAGUAAAUAACAAAAUGAAGCCAGUAAAGCAUCUGUUGACCUCUAGUAAUAAAUUGGUAAACGUUCCAGAAUUAACAUUUAAAAAAGGACUAUUUAAUUCACCAUUGUCACCUAAACCAAAGGAAAAACAUAGUGCAAAAUUAGUACGUGAUAAACUUGAACCGAUGGUCUUAGGAUCUCCACCAACAGGAGAAUCCGUUGUAAGGUAUGCUUUGCCCAUUCCAUCAAAUAAGACAAAGGAGUUAAUAGCAGAAGAUGAAUUGAUCAGGAAAAUUACCAAACAUCUGAAGAUGGUGGUUGCCAGUUUGGAAGAAACCUAUGGAUAUGGCACUCAAAAUGGAGAAAAAGAAAUUGUGAAGCCUGAACAUGAAGAAUUAACCUUUUCUGUUGGGGAUGAUCUGACUUCAUUCUUAAUAUGUUGUUCACAAUUUGCAACUCAGUUAGAAGCAGCAGCUAAGGAAGAACAUAAUUGGUUUCAGCGACAGGUCAAUCAGAUGGAAGAGAUAAGCAAAGAUCAAACUUUUUCAGAAGCAGAGUUUCCAACACCGGAUAAAACAGUCAGUUUAAGCAUUGCACAAAUAGUAAAGCAGGUACACAGACUUGAAGAACUGAAAAAUCGCCUUAAAGAAGGGUCUAAAUACAACUUCAGAGAACUGGUGUCUAAACCCAAGGAUAGUGGAAUUCCACCAGAAGAUGUGCAAACUUAUGAAAUUAUGAAGCAGAAAAUUGAAGAAUUCAUAAAAACACACUCAACUGAAGAAAUUACAGAUGUUUCUGUGACUGAGCCAUAUCAUCCCGUAUACACUUAUACAUUGACUGUAGCUGAGUACCUAUCAAUUCAUGAAUAUAAAGAGCUGCUAGACUUCAAACUUCUGACUACUUAUCAACAGAAAGGAGAAACUGCCUUUUUUUAUGUCUUAAUACUGGGGAGAAUUUUCAAACAAUCAUGUGUGCUGUGGAAUACUGUUUUGGAAGUGGAAAAUAAGACUUGGUUGGAAAAGUUGAUGUAG